UACGUAGGGGGCUAGCGUUGUCCGGAAUUAUUGGGCGUAAAGAGCUCGUAGGCGGCUUGUCACGUCGGGUGUGAAAGACCGGGGCUUAACCCCGGUUCUGCAUUCGAUACGGGCUGGCUAGAGUGUGGUAGGGGAGAUCGGAAUUCCUGGUGUAGCGGUGAAAUGCGCAGAUAUCAGGAGGAACACCGGUGGCGAAGGCGGAUCUCUGGGCCGAUACUGACGCUGAGGAGCGAAAGCGUGGGGAGCGAACAGG
rnacentral:rRNA from 1 species